rnacentral:misc_RNA from 1 species
CUUCCGUAGGUGAACCUGCGGAAGGAUCAUUACCGAGUGAGGGCCCUCUGGGUCCAACCUCCCACCCGUGUUUAUUUUACCUUGUUGCUUCGGCGGGCCCGCCUUAACUGGCCGCCGGGGGGCUUACGCCCCCGGGCCCGCGCCCGCCGAAGACACCCUCGAACUCUGUCUGAAGAUUGUAGUCUGAGUGAAAAUAUAAAUUAUUUAAAACUUUCAACAACGGAUCUCUUGGUUCCGGCAUCGAUGAAGAACGCAGCGAAAUGCGAUACGUAAUGUGAAUUGCAAAUUCAGUGAAUCAUCGAGUCUUUGAACGCACAUUGCGCCCCCUGGUAUUCCGGGGGGCAUGCCUGUCCGAGCGUCAUUUCUGCCCUCAAGCACGGCUUGUGUGUUGGGCCCCGUCCUCCGAUCCCGGGGGACGGGCCCGAAAGGCAGCGGCGGCACCGCGUCCGGUCCUCGAGCGUAUGGGGCUUUGUCACCCGCUCUGUAGGCCCGGCCGGCGCUUGCCGAUCAACCCAAAUUUUUAUCCAGGUUGACCUCGGAUCAGGUAGGGAUACCCGCUGAACUUAAGCAUAUCAAUAAGCGGAGGAA